GACGAACGCUGGCGGCGUGCCUAAUACAUGCAAGUUGAGCGAUGAAGCUUGGUGCUUGCCCCAAUUUGAAGAGCAGCGAACGGGUGAGUAACGCGUGGGGAAUCUGCCUUUGAGCGGGGGACAACAUUUGGAAACGAAUGCUAAUACCGCAUAAUAACUUUAAACAUAAGUUUUAAGUUUGAAAGAUGCAAUUGCAUCACUCAAAGAUGAUCCCGCGUUGUAUUAGCUAGUUGGUGAGGUAAAGGCUCACCAAGGCGAUGAUACAUAGCCGACCUGAGAGGGUGAUCGGCCAAAUUGGGACUGAGACACGGCCCAAACUCCUACGGGAGGCAGCAGUAGGGAAUCUUCGGCAAUGGACGAAAGUCUGACCGAGCAACGCCGCGGGAGUGAAGAAGGGUUUCGGAUCGUAAAACUCUGUUGGUAGAGAAGAACGUUGGUGAGAGUGGAAAGCUCAUCAAGUGACGGUAACUACCCAGAAAGGGACGGCUAACUACGUG
rnacentral:rRNA from 1 species